GAUGAACGCUGGCGGCGUGCCUAAUACAUGCAAGUCGAGCGAACGGACGAGAAGCUUGCUUCUCUGAUGUUAGCGGCGGACGGGUGAGUAACACGUGGAUAACCUACCUAUAAGACUGGGAUAACUUCGGGAAACCGGAGCUAAUACCGGAUAAUAUUUUGAACCGCAUGGUUCAAAAGUGAAAGACGGUCUUGCUGUCACUUAUAGAUGGAUCAGCGCUGCAUUAGCUAGUUGGUAAGGUAACGGCUUACCAAGGCAACGAUGCAUAGCCGACCUGAGAGGGUGAUCGGCCACACUGGAACUGAGACACGGUCCAGACUCCUACGGGAGGCAGCAGUAGGGAAUCUUCCGCAAUGGGCGAAAGCCUGACGGAGCAACGCCGCGUGAGUGAUGAAGGUCUUCGGAUCGUAAAACUCUGUUAUUAGGGAAGAAUAUAUGUGUAAGUAACUGUGCACAUCUUGACGGUACCUAAUCAGAAAGCCACGGCUAACUACGUG
rnacentral:rRNA from 1 species